rnacentral:rRNA from 1 species
AUGGAGGUGGCGGUGGCGGUAGUGAGCGCCGUGACGAAAAGCGUUGUCUCGAAGCUGCUCAGAGUCAUAGAGAAGAGAUACAAGGAGUUGAAGGACCUCGAGGGCGACAUCGGCUUCCUGCAUAGAGAGCUCGCCAUGAUCUGCGGAUCCAUGGAGGUUCAGAUCUCGCACAAGGGGCAGCCCAGUGCGGUAGAGAUCCUAUCCAUGGACGAAUUCCGCGCUCUGGCGCAUAACAUCGAGGACUGCCUGGACCGGUUCCUUCCCUGCGCCGCGUGCGAGGGAGAGCUCCAGAUCCGCGAUCCAAGAAAGUUCUGCCAUGAGAUCGCGAGACUCAAGCGGGACCUGGAUGCGGCGCAUGAGCGAAAGGUCAGAUACAAUGCAGAGUUUGGCUCCGCCGCAGCCGAAUCGAACCUGGACGAAAACCCCGUUGACCCAGAGAAUCCGGGCGCCUACGGGGCUUCUCCUGCGGUGGGCAUCGAGGAAGCAAAGCAGGAGCUUUGCAAGUCCUUAGUUGACGGCGGCGGCGGCGGCGGCAGUGGCCAAGCUAGCCGCAGGAAGCUGAAGGUGGUCUCCGUCGUCGGAUUUGGGGGCUCCGGCAAAACGGCACUGGCAUGGGAGGUGUACAACUGCCCUCAAGUGGCCGAGCAAUUCAGUCGCCGUGCCUGGGUGACUCUGGCGUCCAAGCACAAACACGAUGUCGCUGCCAAGGAGGCGCUCUUGAAGGCCAUACUUGAGGGGCUUCUCGGAGAUGAAGCACGGGAGUCCGUGCCACUGAAACUCCGACAGCUCCAGCAGCAUGUCAGUCUUCUUCUCCGGACAAAGAGGUGUUUAAUUGUACUUGAUAACAUCAAGAUGGAGAUCUGGGACACAAUAAAACCUAUCUUCCCAAAUGAAACAGAGAGCAGAAUACUUGUGACAACAACUGUGAACUCGGUAGCUAAUGCCUGCAGCUUGCCUGACGGUUAUGUUCACAGUAUGAGAUCUCUUAGCCCGGAACAGUCCAAGGAUUAUCUAGACAAGAAGGUUUUCGUCAAUGGAUGCUCACCUGACUUGGAUAAGGGUUCAACUGCAAUCGUGAACGGAUGUGAUGGUCACCCACUUGCUCUUGUUAGUGUUGCCAAAGCUUUACAGGGUCACAAGUUGACAGGGGAUCUCUGUGAAAAAAUGAUCCAGAACCUAUGUUUUCGUAUGGACGAGAAUGAGAAUGGUCACUUCACAAAACUAGCGCAAGUUCUUAUGAAUAAUUACAGCAGUCUACCUGGCAAUUCUCUCAAGACCUGCUUACUAUACUCAAGUGCAUUCCCAAAUGAUCGCCCAGUCAGCAGGAAAACUCUUACAAGCCGAUGGUUAGCAGAAGGAUACAUUGAUGGUGACCAAGAGAUCGCCAAUAAGAAAUUGGAUGAGCUAAUCGACAGGAAUAUCAUUCGGCCUGUCGAUCCAAGCAACAAUGGGAAAGCCAAGACAUGUGAACCUCACGGUAUCAUGCACCAGUUCAUGCUGCACAAGUCCAUGGCUUCGAAUUUCAUUGAUACAUCUUUUGGUGCUAAGAACCGAAGUAACUUCCGUCACCUCAUUAUUGAUAACCGUACAAAUGGUACAACAGGCAACAUGGGACAUGGUACCGGUCCAGCUGGACGUGGCCGCGACCGCCAGCACAACAUAUUUUCUUCUUUGAAAGAAAAGGUUGAUAACUUAUUUUCAGGAUCGGCCAGCAAGCAGUUGCGCCCCCGAUCUCUAACUGUCUUUGGGAGUGUUGAAGAAGCUGUUCCAGACUUGACGAGUUUUGAGCUGCUGAGGGUGUUGGAUCUAAAAGAAUGUAGUGUUUUGAGUGAAGAACAUCUGGGGCAGAUAUACAAGCUGUUGCAUCUCAAAUAUCUCACACUGGGAUGCUCUGUUAGCAAUGUUUCAGUUGAAAUGGAAAGGCUUCAUUGUUUAGAGACACUUGACUUGAGGAAGACAAAGAUAGAGACACUGCCUAUGGAAGUCAUUACUCUGCCCCACCUUGCACACCUUUAUGGAAAGAUUAAGCUAAAAAAGAUUAGUGGCAAGAAGCUUACGGGAUUCCUGCAAGGAAAAACUAAUUUGCAGACUCUGGCAGGAGUUGUUGUAGACAGCAACUCUGGAUUCCCGGAAGUGAUGGUUCAUAUGAAGAAACUGACAAAGGUCAAGAUAUGGUGUGAGAUCCCUAGCACAGAUAGCAAUUACGCCGUACUUUCAAAGGCCAUUCACAAGUUUGCUCAGGCUGGUAUGGCUACUGCAGUAGGCGCCCGUUCCCUAUCACUUCAUCUGAAUGAUUUUUCCAAAGGUUUGCUUCAUCACCAUCAAGGCGACAACACAAUAGCAGCAUCAAGAAAACAUGGUUAUCUUAGCUCACUGAAACUGCAAGGCAGCCUGAAUCAGUCCCCCCAGUUUGUUAUGUACCUGCGUGGUCUGAAGGAGUUGUGCCUUACAUAUACUAAUCUGAAGGGGGCUGAACUUCUAGCAGGUCUGGGCAACCUAAAGCUCUUGGUUUGUCUCAAGCUGGUUGAAGUCGAUCUCGCCGAUUUAGAUAUAAACAUUGGGGAUUUCCCAAGCCUGCAACGGCUAUGCCUUGUGGUGGAAAAACCUAGAUUCCCUAUAAUUGAGCAUGGAGCUUUGCUGCGUCUUGUUUCACUCCAGUUGCUCUGUAAAGAUCUAGUGGGUCUUUGUGAUGACAUAAAAGUGGAAUGGUUUGAAGCUCUUGAGGAAGUCGCUCUGGAUUCUAUGCUCAAUCAACAAACCAUACAGCUCUGGGAAAAUGAAGUGAGGAAGCACCCCAAGAGGCCAAGGGUUAUCUUGCUAAAAAAGGUGGUUGAUCCAACAAAAACUAUGUCGGGGAAAUAUGUUGCCUCCCGCAAAGUCUACAACAAUUGUUACACCGACACUCCGCAAACGAGGUUGCAGAGGUCUUGUCAAGUCACAGCUCCCCGCGUGCAAUCUCCAGCACCUCGCUUUCUGUUUGAUCAAGUUGAAGUUUGCAGUGGACCAGAUGUCGAAGAUACAGAAUUUACCGCAUUAGAUGUGAAACUGGACUCUCUCCAUAGCAUUCAUCAGACGUUGAGCAGCCCAACAUAUGAGUACAAUUGGCCAACUGGCGAAGGACUCUGUUUGCCCCAUUUCUACUCAUGUACUAUUAUGAAGUCACCUAAGGCCGUGCUUGGAUUAUCGUGUUUCCUUCGGAUACACCUGUAA